ACUGCAGCCUGCCUGUCAUGUCAAGAAAGUUUGGAGAAGGCUCAGAUUUUUGUAGAAGCUGUGAGCACUGUGAUAGCUCGGGCUGGAGCAAGGUAUUUGCAGAAGGAACGAAGCUCAUAGUAAUCCCUCCUGACAAAAGGUUUGAUACAGACAUUUCCCCCAAGCCUACCAUUUUCCUUCCUUCCGUUGCUGAAACGAAUCUCCAUAAGGCUGGGACAUACCUUUGUCUCCUUGAGAAAUUCUUCCCUGAUGUUAUAAGGGUAUACUGGAAAGAAAAGGAUGGCGAUAAGAUCCUGGAAUCCCAGGAAGGGAAUACACUGAAAACCAAUGACACAUACAUGAAGUUUAGCUGGCUUACCGUGACUGCAGAGUCAAUGCAUAAAGAGCACAGAUGCAUUGUCAAACAUGAGAACAAUAAGAAGGGAGUUGAUCAAGAGAUUUCCUUUCCUCCAAUAGAGAAAGUUGCCGUGAGUGCUGAGCCUACACCUUGCUGGCAUGAAAAUGCCAUGCUGCAGCUUCAGCUCACAAGCACCUCUGCCUACUACACCUACCUUCUCCUCCUCCUCAAGAGUGCCAUCCACCUGGCCAUGGUCAGCUUCUCUCUGGCUAGAAGAACGGCUACCUGUGGCAAUGAGAAGAGGUCCUAAGGAAGUGAACGGUGGCACAACCAGUCAGCUCCUGUUCAUCCUCCCUGUGAAGUUGUGCCUUACGGGGCCCAGCUGGAUUCUCUUGCUAACUUUGACCUCUGUAAAAAUCACAUGCACUUCAUUCUGUAAUCACUCAAAAGUUUUCAGACUUUCAUAAGCAAUUCGA